rnacentral:tRNA from 1 species
GGGCGCGUAGCUCAAUGGUAGAGCGGCGAUCUUAUAAGUCGCAGGUCGGAGGCUCGAUCCCUCCCGCGCCCA